GCAGUAAUACAUAUUUUUGGCAAAACGUAACUAUAUUUUUAAAUAUUUUUUUUUCUUACAAUAACUGAAAAUCUGAACGAGAGGAAGGAUGUCGUGGCUGAAUCCAUAUAAUUUCUGGCUCUUCUUAAUAUGCAAGAUGGCACCACGCAGUAGCAACUGUCACGAUUAUUAUGAUCAUUGUUAUCUCAAUCGCUAUUAUAAUCUGUACUCUUUCACUCGUUUCCCGAGAUGGGUCUGGAGUAGUGUGAUUUCUGGAUCCGACACUUUAUUGGUGGAUACGUCGCGUCCGGAGUGCCUUCAUCUGGUCCAUGACAAUGGUUAUUUUUCUUUUAUAUAUUUCAUAACAAAGAUUUUACUUUUGAUCAGCUUCACGCUUAGUCUGGCCUAUGGAAUUUUUAAGGUCACCUCACAUCGAACUGCCUUGCGGCAUUAAGUUUUGAACGUUGAUUUUACUUUUUGAGAAAUGUUAUUGGAAUUGGUAUUCGCUGUUGGGAGAAAUUGUUCAGGAAUUAAAUUUUUUGGAUUCUCGUGUUCGAUUUAUGAGCGGGAAUAAAUUUUUACAGCCAUUAAUACGGGGUGCGAGUCUUGGAAUUCUUACAAACUUUGGGCACAGGCAACUUCACGCUGCUCUAAAUCUAAAUCACUGCGGGUAACCAAUUCGCCGGGUUCAAGUCUAGGCUGCCAUAAUAUGUACAUAGCAAGUACAAGAACCGCAUGAUGCAACUUAGCAAGACCUUUU